rnacentral:rRNA from 1 species
GACGGGUGAGUAAUGUCUGGGAAACUGCCUGAUGGAGGGGGAUAACUACUGGAAACGGUAGCUAAUACCGCAUAACGUCUUCGGACCAAAGAGGGGGACCUUCGGGCCUCUUGCCAUCAGAUGUGCCCAGAUGGGAUUAGCUAGUAGGUGAGGUAAUGGCUCACCUAGGCGACGAUCCCUAGCUGGUCUGAGAGGAUGACCAGCCACACUGGAACUGAGACACGGUCCAGACUCCUACGGGAGGCAGCAGUGGGGAAUAUUGCACAAUGGGCGCAAGCCUGAUGCAGCCAUGCCGCGUGUAUGAAGAAGGCCUUCGGGUUGUAAAGUACUUUCAGCGAGGAGGAAGGCAUUGUGGUUAAUAACCGCAGUGAUUGACGUUACUCGCAGAAGAAGCACCGGCUAACUCCGUGCCAGCAGCCGCGGUAAUACGGAGGGUGCAAGCGUUAAUCGGAAUU